AGGAUGAACGCUGGCGGCGUGCCUAACACAUGCAAGUCGAACGUCCUGUCUCGCAAGAGGCAGGGAGUGGCGGACGGGUGAGUACCACGUGGGUUAUCUACCGUGAGGUGAGGAAUACCGGCGAGAAAUCGCCGACAAGACCGCAUAGCCUCGGUGCAAGCCGAGGAAAGCUUUCUCGAGAGAGGGAGCGCCACACGAGGAGCCUGCGCCCGAUUAGCUAGCUGGUGGAGUAACGGUUCACCAGGGCGACGAUCGGUAGCUGGUCUGAGAGGACGAUCAGCCACACUGGGAUUGAGAACGGCCCAGACUCCUACGGGGGGCAGCAGUGAGGAAUUUUCGUCAAUGGGGGCAACCCUGAACGAGCAACGCCGCGUGCAGGAAGAAGGUUUUCGGAUCGUAAACUGCUUUUCUCGGGGAAGAGAACGGACGGUACCCGAGGAAUCGAGCCCCGGCUAACUACGUGCCAGCAGCCGCGGUAA
rnacentral:rRNA from 1 species